rnacentral:rRNA from 1 species
UACGUAGGGAGCAAGCGUUGUCCGGAAUCAUUGGGCGUAAAGCGCGCGUAGGUGGCUUCGUAAGUCCGUUGUGAAAGUCAAAGGCUCAACCUUUGAAAGCCGAUGGAUACUGCGGAGCUAGAGUACGGAAGAGGCGAGUGGAAUUCCCGGUGUAGCGGUGAAAUGCGUAGAUAUCUGGAGGAACACCGGUGGCGAAGGCGACAUCCUGGACCGGUAUUGACGCUGAGGCGCGAAAGCCAGGGGAGCAAACGGG